AUUUGCCUUCCACCUCACUCGCAGUUUGCUCAUUAGCAUCAGUCUGAGGUCUAAUGGAUGCUCAAUGGGAAGUGAUUUUUCUUUGUAAAUGUCCAGCGAGAAAACUGAAAUGACAACCCUAUGAGGAUGCUCUUCCUGAGAAAGCUUUCCAAAAACGACAGAGGUUUUAUUUUGGGAAGUCCGUUUACAGUUGCUGUGACUGUUCUGGUGAAGAUGUAUACACAGCUGGACACAAUUCUACAGUGCUUAUUUCUCUGUUAG
rnacentral:lncRNA from 1 species